rnacentral:rRNA from 1 species
AACGAACGCUGGCGGCAGGCCUAACACAUGCAAGUCGAGCGGACAUCUUCGGAUGUUGGCGGCGGACGGGUGGGUACCGCGGGGGAACUAGCCCGUGGCUAAGGAAUCGCCUCGGGAAACUGGGAGUAAUAAAGGAUGUACCAAUUGGGGGAAAGAUUUAUCUGCAAAGGAUCGGCGCGCGUAGGAUGAGGUAGUUGGUGGGGUAAUGGCCUACCAAGCCGACUAUCCAUAGCUGGGUUGAGAGGAUGAUCAGGCACACUGGGAGUGAGCCACGUCCGAGACUCCUACGGGAGGAAGCAGGGGGGAAUCUUAGACAAUGGGGGAAUGCAUGAGGUAGCCAGGCCGCGAGAGCGAUGAAGGCCUGAGGGUCGUAAAGCUCUUUCAACGGGGCAGAUAAUGACGGUACCUGGAGAAAAAGCCCCGGCUAACUACGUG